GUGGAGCAUGUGGUUUAAUUCGAUGCAACGCGAAGAACCUUACCUGGUCUUGACAUCCACAGAAGAAUCCAGAGAUGGAUUGGUGCCUUCGGGAACUGUGAGACAGGUGCUGCAUGGCUGUCGUCAGCUCGUGUUGUGAAAUGUUGGGUUAAGUCCCGCAACGAGCGCAACCCUUAUCCUUUGUUGCCAGCGAUUAGGUCGGGAACUCAAAGGAGACUGCCAGUGAUAAACUGGAGGAAGGUGGGGAUGACGUCAAGUCAUCAUGGCCCUUACGACCAGGGCUACACACGUGCUACAAUGGCGCAUACAAAGAGAAGCGACCUCGCGAGAGCAAGCGGACCUCAUAAAGUGCGUCGUAGUCCGGAUUGGAGUCUGCAACUCGACUCCAUGAAGUCGGAAUCGCUAGUAAUCGUGGAUCAGAAUGCCACGGUGAAUACGUUCCCGGGCCUUGUACACACCGCCCGUCACACCAUGGGAGUGGGUUGCAAAAGAAGUAGGUAGCUUAACCUUCGGGAGGGCGCUUACCACUUUGUGAUUCAUGACUGGGGUGAAGUCGUAACAAGGUAACCGUAGGGGAACCUGCGGUUGGA
rnacentral:rRNA from 1 species